GAUGAACGCUAGCGGGAGGCCUAAUACAUGCAAGUCGAACGGUAAGGUCCCUUCGGGGAUACACGAGUGGCGGACGGGUGCGUAACGCGUACGAAACAUACCUUCAACAGGGAGAUACCUCCGGGAAACUGGAAAUAAUACCCCAUAGUAUUGUGACAUCGCAUGAUGUUACAAUUAAAGCUUUGGCGGUUGAAGAUUGUCGUGCGUCUGAUUAGCUAGUUGGUGAGGUAACGGCUCACCAAGGCGACGAUCAGUAGCUGGUCUGAGAGGAUGAUCAGCCACACUGGAACUGAGACACGGUCCAGACUCCUACGGGAGGCAGCAGUAGGGAAUA
rnacentral:rRNA from 1 species